UACGUAGGGUGCAAGCGUUAAUCGGAAUUACUGGGCGUAAAGAGCGCGCAGGCGGUCGUUCAAGUCGCGUGUGAAAGCCCCCGGCUCAACUGGGGAGGGUCACGCGAUACUGAUCGACUCGAAGGCAGGAGAGGGAAGUGGAAUUCCCGGUGUAGUGGUGAAAUGCGUAGAUAUCGGGAGGAACACCAGUGGCGAAGGCGACUCCCUGGCCUGUUCUUGACGCUGAGGCGCGAAAGCUAGGGGAGCAAACGGG
rnacentral:rRNA from 1 species